rnacentral:rRNA from 1 species
AUAGUGCCAACACAAAACCGAAGGGUAGUGAGUGCACAUGGGUGGAUACACAAAAACUAGAGGAGCUGAAAUGUUGAGUGCUGGAGGCAACCUAGCGGCGGACGGGUGAGUAACGCGUGAGCAAUCUGCCUCAUACAGGGGGAUAACAGGUGGAAACACUUGCUAAUACCGCAUAAGACCACAGCGCUGCAUGGCGCAGGGGUCAAAGGAGUAAGAUCCGGUAUGAGAUGAGCUCGCGUCCCAUUAGCUAGUUGGCGGGGUAACGGCCCACCAAGGCGACGAUGGGUAGCCGACCUGAGAGGGUGAUCGGCCACACUGGGACUGAGACACGGCCCAGACUCCUACGGGAGGCAGCAGUGGGGAAUAUUGCGCAAUGGGGGGGAACCCUGACGCAGCAACGCCGCGUGAGUGAAGAAGGUCUUCGGAUCGUAAAACUCUGUCAUAGGGGAAGAAGGAGAUGACGGUACCCUAUGAGGAAGCCCCGGCUAACUACGUG